CAAAUGGGUAAGCUACAUAUGUACACGUAGAAGUAGUAAAUGGAUAAACGAACUAUAAGCUAUACGAUACUGCCCGCAUGCGCUGUAUAACAAAUAGCCCGGAACCCAGGAUUAAAAUCAAAAUGAUUUAUGAUUGAGGAGUAUAUGAAGUUAGACCUAAGAUAGUACCUACUUAGACAUAGGAAACAAAGGUAGAGGAUGAAUAGAUAAACAUAUAGAAUGGAGACUAGAG
rnacentral:lncRNA from 1 species